rnacentral:rRNA from 1 species
GACGAACGCUGGCGGCGUGCUUAACACAUGCAAGUCGAACGGUGAAAGAAGAGCUUGCUCUUCUGGAUCAGUGGCGAACGGGUGAGUAACACGUGAGUAACCUGCCCCAGACUCUGGAAUAAGCGCUGGAAACGGCGUCUAAUACCGGAUACGUGACAGAGCUGCAUGGCUACUGUCUGGAAAGUUUUUCGGUCUGGGAUGGACUCGCGGCCUAUCAGCUUGUUGGUGAGGUAACGGCUCACCAAGGCAACGACGGGUAGCCGGCCUGAGAGGGCGACCGGCCACACUGGGACUGAGACACGGCCCAGACUCCUACGGGAGGCAGCAGUGGGGAAUAUUGCACAAUGGGCGAAAGCCUGAUGCAGCGACGCCGCGUGAGGGAUGACGGCCUUCGGGUUGUAAACCUCUUUCAGCAGGGAAGAAGCGAAAGUGACGGUACCUGCAGAAGAAGCACCGGCUAACUACGUG